rnacentral:miRNA from 1 species
UCCGGCAGACAGGCAACCACAGC